GACGAACGCUGGCGGCGUGCUUAACACAUGCAAGUCGAACGGAAAGGCCCUGCUUUUGUGGGGUGCUCGAGUGGCGAACGGGUGAGUAACACGUGAGUAACCUGCCCUUGACUUUGGGAUAACUUCAGGAAACUGGGGCUAAUACCGGAUAGGAGCUCCUGCUGCAUGGUGGGGGUUGGAAAGUUUCGGCGGUUGGGGAUGGACUCGCGGCUUAUCAGCUUGUUGGUGGGGUAGUGGCUUACCAAGGCUUUGACGGGUAGCCGGCCUGAAAGGGUGACCGGCCACAUUGGGACUGAGAUACGGCCCAGACUCCUACGGGAGGCAGCAGUGGGGAAUAUUGCACAAUGGGCGGAAGCCUGAUGCAGCAACGCCGCGUGCGAGAUGACGGCCUUCGGGUUGUAAACCGCUUUCGCCUGUGACGAAGCGUGAGUGACGGUAAUGGGUAAAGAAGCACCGGCUAACUACGUGCCAGCAGCCGCGGUGAUACGUAGGGUGCGAGCGUUGUCCGGAUUUAUUGGGCGUAAAGGGCUCGUAGGUGGUUGAUCGCGUCGGAAGUGUAAUCUUGGGGCUUAACCCUGAGCGUGCUUUCGAUACGGGUUGACUUGAGGAAGGUAGGGGAGAAUGGAAUUCCUGGUGGAGCGGUGGAAUGCGCAGAUAUCAGGAGGAACACCAGUGGCGAAGGCGGUUCUCUGGGCCUUUCCUGACGCUGAGGAGCGAAAGCGUGGGGAGCGAACAGGCUUAGAUACCCUGGUAGUCCACGCUGUAAACGGUGGGUACUAGGUGUGGGGUCCAUUCCACGGGUUCCGUGCCGUAGCUAACGCUUUAAGUACCCCGCCUGGGGAGUACGGCCGCAAGGCUAAAACUCAAAGGAAUUGACGGGGCCCCGCACAAGCGGCGGAGCAUGCGGAUUAAUUCGAUGCAACGCGUAGAACCUUACCUGGGUUUGACAUGGAUCGGGAGUGCUCAGAGAUGGGUGUGCCUCUUUUGGGGUCGGUUCACAGGUGGUGCAUGGCUGUCGUCAGCUCGUGUCGUGAGAUGUUGGGUUAAGUCCCGCAACGAGCGCAACCCUUGUUCACUGUUGCCAGCACGUUAUGGUGGGGACUCAGUGGAGACCGCCGGGGUCAACUCGGAGGAAGGUGGGGAUGACGUCAAGUCAUCAUGCCCCUUAUGUCCAGGGCUUCACGCAUGCUACAAUGGCUGGUACAGAGAGUGGCGAGCCUGUGAGGGUGAGCGAAUCUCGGAAAGCCGGUCUCAGUUCGGAUUGGGGUCUGCAACUCGACCUCAUGAAGUCGGAGUCGCUAGUAAUCGCAGAUCAGCAACGCUGCGGUGAAUACGUUCCCGGGGCU
rnacentral:rRNA from 1 species